CAGCUGCGUAUAAACUACCAACACCACCACAGACUUCUAAUCCACCACCUAUACCAGCACCACCAGCGCAAUUUUGAAGACGAUAACAGUAUAAGCAACACCAGCCACGCAAUAGCCGAAUAGUCAGACUAUAUGUCACUAUUUAUUAAAUAAAUAUUAUAUAAAGCAUAAUCUUAAUUCUUUUAAAAAUAGUGCUUCACGCAAUAUAUGUACACUUUUAUUAGAAUAAAAUUUAAUUAAAAACUG